ACAUAGCAAGGAGACUCAUAUUUAAGAAGAGGAAAAAGGAAGUGUUGCUCUCUUUCCCCUCGGCUCCUGCUCCAGCGGCAAGAUGUGAUCCACCAGCUAGGAGGGACGCCAAUAAGGCGUCCGAUAAGAUAAGUCUUAUAAAAUAUAUAGAUGUAUGAUGAUUGAUACUGAGCUAACAGAUGAGAAUCCUAGUCAUUGGCCAAGCAGCAUUGUAACUAAUACAAGUCUCUCUGUGUAUUCAUUUGGGCCUAACUUGGGCAGGCGGCUGCCAUAAAGCUUACACGUGGCGGUGGGGCUCAGCGGCUUUUGGCAGAAAGAUUUAUCGUAACAGAAUGGUGUCAGAAGUGGGAUGACCCCAUGCCCCAAGGUUUCCAGAGAAAGAGGGAAACCUGCCGCCACAGCCUGCCCUGUCGGGCUGCUGAGAGGCAUUGGAGCAGCUUCCAUAUGCUCGCACUGUCCCGGUGCUCUUGGGCGUUAUACUCGGACUUCUGAGAUGUUAAAGACAGAUUAAGAUAAAAAAAAACCUCUAAAGGUUUACAAUACAUUUAAAAAUAUAUGUAAGCUUGUGAGAGAAAAAGUAACAGGAGAAAAUAGAGUAACCGGUUGUGGUGGCCAACACGGGUAGGAUUUGCUAAAGGAAGCAGAGACAGGCGGAUUUCCACAGAGAAACGCUGUCUCAGAAAAAAAAAAAAAGAAACAAAAGAAAGUAAAAGUAGAAUAAUAAAAACGCCACCUAGAGAUAAAAAAUAUACAGAGAAUCUGGAUACUAAAUGCCAUACUGUUGUCUUUAAUUUGUUUGAUUGCCAAGGAAAGAAUUACUACUGCUAAAAUACAUUUGAUUAUAAAUGCUGCUAAAUUAAUCCAACUUAUACAUUUUAAAAAUGCUUUAACUUUAAAGUUUAAGUCUAAGGACAGGCUACUUAGAAAUAAAGGUUUUACUUGUAUUUCCACAGAAAAUCAAAAGCUGUUGAUUCCUUCCAGACUAAUAUGGUUUGAUCAAGCAAGACCCCCUAAAGCUGAGAUGAUACAGCCUUACAGACUACAAAAACAAAGACUUGGUCAGGUUUCUAUGUUUUAUCAUGAUCCUAAUGGUAUAUAAACAUCGCCCCCAAUCAGCAGGAAGCAGUUUAGAAAGAACGACGCCCAUAUUCCCAAGUAUUGUUUAUAAAUGUUUGUUUUCAUUUAAAUGAGGUUGGUUAUAAAUGAUAAAAAAAAAAGGAAUAGGAUAUAGGAAUGAAUACUUUAAAUUGGUAAAGAUUUUCAUUGAUUGAUACAACUUUAAGGUCAGUUUUGUGAUGUGUAUAUGUCUACUCUUGUUUAGGUAUUGUGUUUAUACAGAUCUUUUACCUAUAAUAGUCAGAACUUAUAAUUAGGUUAGUUACGUUUUCUAGAUAUAGAGAUGUAUUUGAGAUGGUUAGGUAUUCUUCAAACCUUUCAAAGACCUACAGAAAUAUGACAUUUAAAUGGUUUAGGGUUUUUCUUGGCAAUGAGACACAACUGCUCCUGGCACACCAAUUAUGUCAAAAAGGAGGAUGGGCAUCGAAGAAACUCGUUAUGGAGUUUGCUUUCAACAUGGCAAGACUAGCCAUUUGGGCAAGAAACUGCUCUUGCCUGGACUGUUUGUUGCUGUAUAAAUUGGACAUGCAGGACCCACAAGAAAAUGACUGCUAAACUUACAAAACUAAAGGGUUCCUGUUAAAAUGGAGGAGUGUGUUAGACAUACUGUGGCCUAUAGGCUGAAGAUGGAUGCCCCAACAUUUACAGAGGAACUUUGGGUGACUGCCCAGGUAGCAAGAUGUCCUGUCAAUUCAAGAGUUUAUAUAUUAUCCUUCUGUGGUCUUUGAUAGAGUUGAAGACAGAUAGUUAUGGUUAUAGUUUUCUUCAGUUAUUAUAAAAAAUAAGUUACCCUUCUUUUUAUUUAGACAGAAAAGAGGAGAUGAUGGGGGAAAUACUUCUGUGUAUGUUUAUAAAUAAAGUACUUGCUUGGCCAAUGAGACAGCAGGUUAGGCUGGACUAGGAGUCAAAGAGGAUUCUGGGAAAUGUAGUAGAGAAGUGGUGUUCCAGACAGGAAGUGACAUAGCAAGGAGACUCAUAUUUAAGAAGAGGAAAAAGGAAGUGUUGCUCUCUUUCCCCUCGGCUCCUGCUCCAGCGGCAAGAUGUGAUCCACCAGCUAGGAGGGACGCCAAUAAGGCGUCCGAUAAGUGCUGGGUAGCUAGGAGUUUCCUGAUCCACACUCCUCCAAUCAAGGUUGAACCUGGAGCUUCUCAGCUGCUUCUGAU
rnacentral:lncRNA from 1 species